GCUGACGAGUGGCGGACGGGUGAGUAACGCGUAGGAAUCUGCCCAUUUGAGGGGGAUACCAGUUGGAAACGACUGUUAAUACCGCAUAAUAUCUGUGGAUUAAAGGUGGCUUUCGGGCUGUCGCAGAUGGAUGAGCCUGCGUUGGAUUAGCUAGUUGGUGGGGUAAGGGCCCACCAAGGCUACGAUCCAUAGCUGAUUUGAGAGGAUGAUCAGCCACAUUGGGACUGAGACACGGCCCAAACUCCUACGGGAGGCAGCAGUGGGGAAUAUUGGACAAUGGGGGCAACCCUGAUCCAGCAAUGCCAUGUGUGUGAAGAAGGCCCUAGGGUUGUAAAGCACUUUAGUUGGGGAGGAAAGCCUCAAAGUUAAUAGCCUUGGGGGAGGACGUUACCCAAAGAAUAAGCACCGGCUAACUCCGUGCCAGCAGCCGCGGUAAUACGGGGGGUGCAAGCGUUAAUCGGAAUUACUGGGCGUAAAGGGUCUGUAGGUGGUUUGUUAAGUCAGAUGUGAAAGCCCAGGGCUCAACCUUGGAACUGCAUUUGAUACUGGCAAACUAGAGUACGGUAGAGGAAUGGGGAAUUUCUGGUGUAGCGGUGAAAUGCGUAGAGAUCAGAAGGAACACCAAUGGCGAAGGCAACAUUCUGGACCGAUACUGACACUGAGGGACGAAAGCGUGGGGAUCAAACAGGAUUAGAUACCCUGGUAGUCCACGCUGUAAACGAUGAGUACUAGCUGUUGGAGUCGGUGUAAAGGCUCUAGUGGCGCAGCUAACGCGAUAAGUACUCCGCCUGGGGACUACGGCCGCAAGGCUAAAACUCAAAGGAAUUGACGGGGACCCGCACAAGCGGUGGAGCAUGUGGUUUAAUUCGAUGCAACGCGAAGAACCUUACCUGGUCUUGACAUCCUGCGAACUUUCUAGAGAUAGAUUGGUGCCUUCGGGAGCGCAGUGACAGGUGCUGCACGGCUGUCGUCAGCUCGUGUUGUGAAAUGUUGGGUUAAGUCCCGCAACGAGCGCAACCCCUAUUGAUAGUUACCAUCAUUAAGUUGGGUACUCUAUUGAGACUGCCGCUGACAAGGCGGAGGAAGGUGGGGACGACGUCAAGUCAUCAUGGCCCUUACGACCAGGGCUACACACGUGCUACAAUGGGUAUUACAGAGGGCUGCGAAGGUGCGAGCUGGAGCGAAACUCAAAAAGGUACUCUUAGUCCGGA
rnacentral:rRNA from 1 species